rnacentral:lncRNA from 1 species
CGCGCGACUGGGGCGACGGGGGCGACACGCGCGCCGAGGUUGACGGGUGGAGUGGGGAUUUUCUCCUCUACAUCACGCACCGGUGGCCCCCGGAGGGACCAGCGGUACCCAGUGACGCCGAACUGCAGGAGGCAUAUCAAGGAUACCUGCGCCAACGAGGACAAUAAUGGCAAAGCGAAGGUGCACUCUGUUCGCUUGUUCCUUGCACGUCUUGCUGGCGUCAAACGUGGAUGAUGGUGGCGAUAUGGUGAAUGAUGGCGAUGGUGACGAUAUGGUGAAUGAUGGCGAUGGUGACGAUAUGGUGAAUGAUGGCGAUUAAGCACUUGAUGUCACUUCAGCGGAUGUCUGCAAUUCAGCAUGGAUUUGCCAACUCCAUUGUAUGUUCUUAUAUGAAUUAGAUUAAAUUUAGCGGAAUAUCCUAGAGUGUUAAUUUGAAACUGAUUGUUGCAAUUAGGUUUACGGUGUACGAUUAUCAGAGGAAAUGUCACUCUUCGACGUAAUUAAGGAUCGUAAUCUUUUGGUCCGUACGCAAUAAUCAUGAAAAUUUUUGUGAUCUAGCAGGAAAAAUCUUUCGAAGACGUCGUGGUGUUUAAUAUUAAAAAACAAUUGUUAGCUGAUUAUAUUAAUUAUUUAAAUAUGUUAUUAACUCAAGGCAUUUUUAUUACAUGUGGGAUUAAAUAGACUUCCUGUUUUGUGUGGGAUUUACUAGACUAU